ACGCUGCAUUUCCUUCACGAGGCCACUCUCCUCAGUCUGGGUUUAGGAAACCCUGGAUUUCCCUGUGCCUGCCUCAAAACAACGUUGCAUAAACGUACGAAGUUCGAUCUACACAGUCGUCUCUCCAUAAUCCAUUUAGUUGGUGCUUUAUAAUCCGUAUAGUUGGUGUUUCACGAGUUUCAGAUUGUUCGAAGUGCGAUUACCCGAGUACCACGGGGCCGCGCGAUCAUCUCGCCUAAAGAGGCUGAUCUUGAGAUUGUACUACGAUUGGCCGCGCGUUUGCCACCUAUUACGGUGCCCCCUACGAUGCUCUGCUCUUUGCCUCCUUUACCCUGCUUCAGUCAAGAAUAAAAAUUUGCGUGAUGCGCAUUUUGACGUGCAUUUCGGGUGAGGAGUAUUUAUUCCUUCUUGGAUUUCGCUCAUGGCGAGGACUCCCCGUCGAAUAAAUCCCGGGAGGUCACUGAUGAUGCCCUCGGUUGCCGCGAUUUAGAUGAGAAUGCAUUGCUGAAUACACAAUGCCCCAGGAAUCUAGAGCUUAUAUGACAACAGGAAGUUAGUUCUAGACUUCUAGCAUUUAUGCGACUCAAUCGAUUGCAGAUAUCAACAGUGAUGGUAAACUUGUGUCCUUUGUUCAGUGAUGGUAAACUUGAGUUCUAUGUGCUCACUUAAUGAAAGUCCAACUUACAAAGUCAUAGACUGUAAUUGCUCCACCAGGCCCAUCAAUUGCUUAUAUAGGUUUAUCCUGCUUGGAAAUGGUUUGAGAAGCAAGAUGGGAUUCAAUCUUUGCAAAAAGACAACAAAGAUGCUCCAGAGUUUUACAACAUUUAUCUUGAGAGGCCAAAGGGGGAUGCUGAUGGGUAUGAUUUGGUUGUUGUUGAUGCGAUGCAUAAGGCUAAUUACGCAAGUCGAAUUUGUCAUUCAUGCAGGCCUAAUUGUGAAGCUAAAGUAACUGCUGUAGAUGGUCAAUACCAGAUAGGGAUCUAUACUGUGCGUGAAAUUCGAUAUGGCGAGGAAGUUACGUUUGAUUAUAAUUCAGUAACAGAGGUAUAUUUUGUCAUUACUUUAUUUCUUGGUUUGUUGGUCCAAUUCCAGAUACCGGAACAGAGAUUGAAAGCAGCAAGUAGAGGGGAAAAAAAAAAGUCUGAAAAUCAGAUGGAAGCAUAUAAAUUACGGUAGUUUGAAACCAAAGAACACAAGCUUGCUGUUAAUCAACAGAGUCCACUAAGCCUAGUUCUGGAUGGCAUUCUCAUAGAGAGACUAAAUAUGCAAAUUUCUCAGGCAAAGUUUUUGAAAGAAGUGGAUUUCCUGGAGAUGUAUAUAGACAUUGCAAGGCAAGCUUCAUAGGUUUAAAAAGCAAACUCAUCUAUGAACAAUUCCUUAUGGAAGUGUCGGACGGAAAGUGAACAAGUCACAGAAUCGAGCACUUUUGAUAUACCAUGGAUGCCAAGAAGUAUUGAUGGGAAGCUUGAGGCUUUCUAUUGAAUACAUGAAUUGAUGUAAUCGGCACUUGAGCAUCUACAUCUCCACUGCAAAGAUAAUGUGAGCAUUGUUAGAGGACAGCAUUUCACCUAUUUCUGAACUAAUUCCCGAAUAUUUUUAAUUUAUUAAUAGGUGAUAAAAAAUUUAACUC